CCCAGACUCCUACGGGAGGCAGCAGUGGGGAAUUUUGGACAAUGGGCGAAAGCCUGAUCCAGCAAUGCCGCGUGUGUGAAGAAGGCCUUCGGGUUGUAAAGCACUUUUGUCCGGAAAGAAAUCCUUGGCUCUAAUACAGUCGGGGGAUGACGGUACCGGAAGAAUAAGCACCGGCUAACUACGUGCCAGCAGCCGCGGUAAUACGUAGGGUGCGAGCGUUAAUCGGAAUUACUGGGCGUAAAGCGUGCGCAGGCGGUUUGCUAAGACCGAUGUGAAAUCCCCGGGCUCAACCUGGGAACUGCAUUGGUGACUGGCAGGCUAGAGUAUGGCAGAGGGGGGUAGAAUUCCACGUGUAGCAGUGAAAUGCGUAGAGAUGUGGAGGAAUACCGAUGGCGAAGGCAGCCCCCUGGGCCAAUACUGACGCUCAUGCACGAAAGCGUGGGGAGCAAACAGGAUUAGAUACCCUGGUAGUCCACGCCCUAAACGAUGUCAACUAGUUGUUGGGGAUUCAUUUCCUUAGUAACGUAGCUAACGCGUGAAGUUGACCGCCUGGGGAGUACGGUCGCAAGAUUAAAACUCAAAGGAAUUGACGGGGACCCGCACAAGCGGUGGAUGAUGUGGAUUAAUUCGAUGCAACGCGAAAAACCUUACCUACCCUUGACAUGGUCGGAAUCCUGCUGAGAGG
rnacentral:rRNA from 1 species